CCUACGGGAGGCAGCAGUAGGGAAUCUUUCACAAUGGGCGAAAGCCUGAUGGAGCAACGCCGCGUGCAGGAUGAAGGCCUUCGGGUUGUAAACUGCUUUUAUAAGCGAGAAAUAUGAUGGUAACUUAUGAAUAAGGAUCGGCUAACUACGUGCCAGCAGCCGCGGUCAUACGUAGGAUCCGAGGAUUAUCCGGAGUGACUGGGUGUAAAGAGUUGCGUAGGUGGCAUAAUAAUUAGCUAGUGAAAUCUGGUGGCGCAACCAUUCAGACUAUUAGCUAAACUGUUAAGCUCGAGACCGUUAGGGGUAUCUGGAAUUGCUAGUGUAGGAGUGAAAUGCGUAGAUAUUAGAAGGAACACCGAUAGCGUAGGCAGGUUACUGGGACGGUUCUGACACUAAGGCACGAAAGCGUAGGGAGCAAACGGGAUUAGAUACCCGAGUAGUC
rnacentral:rRNA from 1 species